CCAGGCAUCCGUGGGCUCUGAGAAGCUCUUUGCGCCGGGAACCGAUAAAGGCCCAGCGCUUGAGAAGUCGGAGGCCAAGGCCGGGCCGGUGCCCAAGGUGUCAGGCCUGGAGCGCAGCCGCGAGCUCAGCGCCGAGAGCUUCCUGCCCACUGCCAGCCCCGCGCCCCAUGCCGCGCCCUGCCCGGGGCCCCCACCCGGCUCCCGC
rnacentral:lncRNA from 1 species